rnacentral:rRNA from 2 species
CUCGUUCGCCAAAAUCAAAUUCGUAACGACUCUCGGCAACGGAUAUCUCGGCUCUCGCAUCGAUGAAGAACGUAGCGAAAUGCGAUACUUGGUGUGAAUUGCAGAAUCAUGUGAAUCAUCGAGUCUUUGAACGCAAGUUGCGCCCGAAGCCGUCAGGUUGA